rnacentral:rRNA from 1 species
GACGAACUCUGGCGGCGCGCCUAACACAUGCAAGUCGAACGAGAGAUGAGGAGCUUGCUCUUCAAAUCGAGUGGCGAACGGGUGAGUAACGCGUGAGGAACCUGCCUCAAAGAGGGGGACAACAGUUGGAAACGACUGCUAAUACCGCAUAAGCCCACGGCUCGGCAUCGAGCAGAGGGAAAAGGAGCAAUCCGCUUUGAGAUGGCCUCGCGUCCGAUUAGCUAGUUGGUGAGGUAACGGCCCACCAAGGCGACGAUCGGUAGCCGGACUGAGAGGUUGAACGGCCACAUUGGGACUGAGACACGGCCCAGACUCCUACGGGAGGCAGCAGUGGGGAAUAUUGCACAAUGGGGGAAACCCUGAUGCAGCGACGCCGCGUGGAGGAAGAAGGUCUUCGGAUUGUAAACUCCUGUUGUUGAGGAAGAUAAUGACGGUACUCAACAAGGAAGUGACGGCUAACUACGUGCCAGCAGCCGCGGUAAAACGUAGGUCACAAGCGUUGUCCGGAAUUACUGGGUGUAAAGGGAGCGCAGGCGGGAGAACAAGUUGGAAGUGAAAUCCAUGGGCUCAACCCAUGAACUGCUUUCAAAACUGUUUUUCUUGAGUAGUGCAGAGGUAGGCGGAAUUCCCGGUGUAGCGGUGGAAUGCGUAGAUAUCGGGAGGAACACCAGUGGCGAAGGCGGCCUACUGGGCACCAACUGACGCUGAGGCUCGAAAGUGUGGGUAGCAAACAAGAUUAGAUACCCUGGUAGUCCACACCGUAAACG